rnacentral:lncRNA from 1 species
UCCCCGACCGCAGCGGUCCCUGAGUAACCGGCUCCAGCACCGCCGCUGCUCCGUCCCCAAGAACCAGCGCCCCACUGGCCCUCUGCCCCCAGGCGUGCUUCCUCCACCCGCUGGCCUGUCCGGUUCCCUUUAACCAGUCACCACAGGGCUGGUGGCUUCGAAGAACAGAAACUCACUUUCUCAGCAGGACCUGGCACCUAUGGGGCCACUACCCGUUGCCUCCGAGGGUCUCCACGUAGCAGAAAGGUUUUCCCAGAGCUCCCACGGCGGCUCAGUGGGUUAAGAACCCGACUAGGAUCAGUCCCUGGCCUCGCUCCGUGGGUGAAGGAUCUGGCGUGGCCGUGAGCUGUGGCGUAGGUCGCAGACGCAGCUCCGGCCCCGUGUUACUGUGGCUGUGGUGCAGGCCGGGAGCUACAGCUCCGAGUCUCCUCUUGACCUAGAAACAUCCAUCUGCCGCAGGUGCGGCCCUAAAGAAAAAAGGAAAGAAAAGCGGUUUUCCCAAGACCCCACUUCAGAAACGCCCUGCACACCCCUGCUUUGGGCCGUGCGGCACGUUCCGCCAGCUCGGGGCCCUUGCCCGUGGGACCUGCUUCCCAGCGGGUCCUCCCCACAGCCUGGGGGCAGAUCUCCCUCACUGCUGCCCACGGCCUGCCCCAUGCCGGCAUCGGCACGGAGGUGCCAGGCCCUCGGCGGUGCGGGGGCCUCACCCAGCCGCCGGCUCCCUGAGAAGUUCGCGUUUUAUGGCCGGAGACCUGUGGGGUAGCGACCGCCUUUAUUUCCCGGUUACAGCUGAGAACACCGGGGCUCAAAGUGACUUGUCCUGGGUGCCACUCGGUUAACGGACGGAGGGGGGAGCCCAGGUUGGUUGCUGGACUCUGGGGUGGGACCCUCCCCCCAGGGAGGAUGGGGGGUCACACUGGCCCGGCUGCUGUCACCUUUCUGGUUCUCUCCAGGUCUAGGCUCUGCACCCCCCCGCGCUCGUGUCCCAGUGACUCCCGUGGAGGCCUGAGUGGGGAGGCCUGGCAUCCAGCCAAAGCGGGGCAGAGGGGCUGGGGAGGCUCUGCCCGGGGCCCUGCUCACCCUGUUCUCCUGUCUGUCUUCCCAGCUGGUUCAUGGGACGGCGGCCUGAGUACACAGACCCCAGGGUGGUGGCUCAGGGGGAAGGCCGGGAAGUGACCCGCGUCCGCUCCCAGGGCUUUGUCACGCUCCUCUUCAACGUGGUGACCAAGGACAUGAGGAAGCUGGGCUACGACACCGGGCCUCCGGACACACGCAGCGUCUUGGGGCCCAGGCCGCCCCAGGGC